CAUUGCCCUGUUAGGAAUUGAAUUUGCUGUUGUGGCUACAGAAGACAACUUUGUUGGAAUGCUUGUAGCCCAGGAGGAAACGUUCAGUGCACCGACUGGAACGGAGCCAGCUAGGAAGGGACUUCAGCAGGAAGGGCUGCACAGCUUCCCAGCCAUCACAGGAUCAGAGCAGCCGUGGACCUGAGGAGGUGAUUAAGAAUCAAGUGCCCGUGACAAAUAGCCCUUCAGAGGAAGUUAGCUUUUGUGGGAGCAACUCGAGCUGACCCUGAGCUGAAUGAGAAACUCAUCAUCGCGUGCUCUGAGCCAUCAGGAAGUGAACCUCAGAUUGGGAUCUGAGCGUCUUGAUUGGUACAAGGACCUGUGAAAAACUGUAUCUUGAAGAUGCAGAAAGGUCUGACUAUGGGUUUCCACUGCAGGACUAGCAACUAACUGGCAUUUGUGUGCUGGUGGUCCCUGCCCUGUGGACAUACAGUUAAAAAGCUCCAGAGGAGAGUUGUUGUUCCUUGUGCAAAGAGAAGACCUUUCCUUUGGCUCAGAGCUGGCAUCACUGCAUCAGUUGAGUGGUUACCUGGAUUGGAAGAUGGUAAAAGCAAUUGCUGCUGGGCUUUUUUUGUACAGCAGAAAGAGGUCGCAAUCUUCCCUGUGGACUGUGGUGGUUAUUCCCCCAAACUUAUGCCUUUUGCCAGCUUGGUGAUAGAACUUCGGGGUUUCAGUGGAGCAGGUGUCAAAGCACACAGCCAAGGAAUGGAGCUGAAGGCAUAAUUCUUAGUCUGAGACGUUAACUAUGGGCACAGUUGUAAUCUGAGAAAAUCAUGAAUGUCACCAAUGCAUUCUGGUAAAGUGAUAGCUAUAAAAUGAAAGAUUUAAAGGAAGCAAUCAUAAUGGUUAACAGCAGUAUGAAAAAGCUUAAACAUGUUCAUAAAUUUCAAUAACUGCUGAGCAAUAUACUGGAUUCAUCUAGGAGAGAUUUAAUUUGAAAAAUGCUAAAUAGGAGGAACAGACUGGAAACAGACAUUCCUCCUGAAGAUGAAGCCUUUUGGUGAGAAAUUUACAUUGCACUUCAGCUGAAGCGAUACUAAAUCCAGAACCCCAGCCCACCUCAAACGAGCACUGGAACAACCUCUGCUCUGAAUGCUCUGCUGUUGUUCUGAGCUGGGAGGCUUGAACUGAAGAAAAGCUGAGCACCAAGCGCUCAAGUUCAAAUUACUGCUUGGCAGCAAGUGAUGAGCACAUUUCCAUCGUAAGGAGAAAGAGCAGAACCCAGCAGGUCCCCUACAGAACUCUUUUCAAACUCACUGAAGAACUCCUUCCAACCCUGGUGCACUUUGUGUCCUGCACUGGGAGAGUUCAUGGGUUUUCCAGAAUCACUCGUUCGUGGCCUUUGAGGAAGCCAGAAAGCAAGUCGGUUCCAGUGCAUCUUCCUUCAGUGCCAUUUCCUUGGCCUCUCUUACAGUGAUGUUGACCUAAACCUUAUGGGUGAGAUGCGAGCAAACUCAAGCUGGCAGGAUGGAAGCCACUUCAGAUGUCAUGCCAGUGGUUUCAUUUGCACCACUGCAAUACCAAGAGUACUGCUUCUCUCACAGGCAGCAAAUGAGAUGGGCCUCAAGUUCAAGCCAUGUGGCAAAUAUAAAUAAACUGAAAGACAUUAUUUCUAUCUGUAUUCAAGUUAUAUAAUUUUGAACAAAGAAAUACUCUUUGUCCCUGACAUGCUGGCAGUGCUGGCAAUAAGCUGUGAUUACUGCAGUAAAUAGCACCAUCUAGGGAUCAGGAUGCUUUUCAAGUCGUCUUUCUGAACUUUUCUCUAUGUUGCAGAAUCAUGGAGCUGGAAGAAAACUUGUCCACUGCUUUGUCAGAUGUUCAGAUAUCAUCUACCUGAUUCUGGGAAAUUAGGAACAGUGAAGCCGAGGUGUCUGCUUGAAUGCAAAGACUUCAUUUCUAAACUGCUCUUAAAUACUUCCUUUACAGGUGGUAAGCAAGUCCUGAUCCUGCACUAAAUGAUGCUUCAACAGACCUUCCUGCUGCUGAGUUCCAGGAUUUCCAAGGGCACAGUCAUUCAAAUAAAAGGAGGCUCUUCUGCUUUGGUUUUGUGGGGAUCAGCAGCUUGACUGUUCUCACUGCUCACCAUCUGACUGGUUGGUUACUGCCUUUAGCCUUGGAAGAUCCUUUUUGCAACAUUUGGCCUUUAUCUUGAAUAUCCCAGAUAGCUUUGAAGCUUUACCAUUAUCCACUCAUUUUUCCAAAUCACUCGAGUACCCUGAACAGUACAUACCUACGGCUGACAGCACGCUGUAUCUUGAAGAGAACCACUGUUGGCCAUGCAAAGUAGAGAAGAUAUUUACCACUCUGCCAUGGGCAGCUGCUUCAGCUUUGUGCCACAUCCUUCAGAACCUGGAGGUGGCCCAAACAACCAGCGCUGGUGGCCAUGGUUCUCCUUCAGGCUCCUGCUAAUGGAGGUAGAACAGACACAGACGGGGAGAAGAAAACCCUCCUCAUUGGAAAACUAGGAACUGACUUCAGGCAAUAGAAGUAAAUGUAGAAACAGGCAUUGCUGUCUGCUCGUUAUCUAAAGUUCAGGACAAUGACAACACUUCGUUAUAGUUUGCCUUGGAAGUAAGGAAUAAAACUGCACACUGUAGUGCUGCUCUUAUCCAAGAGCAAGGAGCUCUGCUGAUGCAUCCUGCAGCACAGAGUUCAGUACUUGCUUUCCUGCUGCAAUAUCACAGAGAACUCUGUACCCAAAGGAAAGAACCCAAUGACCACAUUGUGAGUGCUGAGGUUUUAUGGGCUCUGUGUCCUACAACCCGGAGUGUCAGGAAAUUAAACUAACAAAAAAUGAAUCAAAUGUCUCCUGAGCAAAGAACUUAGUCGCUACUUACCAUCUGGUGAACCAAAACAGUGAGGGAAACCUCCCCCUGAGAUCAGCUUUUGCAGCCAUUACCACUCUACCUGAGUUUCUUGGCACUGUAAAUCCCCAACAAGGUAAGUAGUUUGGGGUCACUGGUGACUCCCACUUCUGAC
ensembl:lncRNA